rnacentral:rRNA from 1 species
GACGAACGCUGGCGGCGUGCUUAACACAUGCAAGUCGAACGGAAAGGCUCUGCUUUUGUGGGGUGCUCGAGUGGCGAACGGGUGAGUAACACGUGAGUAACCUGCCCUUGACUUUGGGAUAACUUCAGGAAACUGGGGCUAAUACCGGAUAGGAGCUCCUGCUGCAUGGUGGGGGUUGGAAAGUUUCGGCGGUUGGGGAUGGACUCGCGGCUUAUCAGCUUGUUGGUGGGGUAGUGGCUUACCAAGGCUUUGACGGGUAGCCGGCCUGAGAGGGUGACCGGCCACAUUGGGACUGAGAUACGGCCCAGACUCCUACGGGAGGCAGCAGUGGGGAAUAUUGCACAAUGGGCGGAAGCCUGAUGCAGCAACGCCGCGUGCGGGAUGACGGCCUUCGGGUUGUAAACCGCUUUCGCCUGUGACGAAGCGUGAGUGACGGUAAUGUGUAAAGAAGCACCGGCUAACUACGUG